rnacentral:rRNA from 1 species
CCUACGGGCGGCAGCAGUGGGGAAUAUUGGUCAAUGGACGAGAGUCUGAACCAGCCAAGUAGCGUGAAGGAUGACUGCCCUCUGGGUUGUAAACUUCUUUUAUAUGGGAAUAAAAUGUUCCACGUGUGGGAAUUUGUAUGUACCAUAUGCAUAAGGAUCGGCUAACUCCGUGCCAGCAGCCGCGGUAAUCCGGAGGAUCCGAGGGUUAUCCGGAUUGAUUGGGUUGAAAGGGAGCGUAGGUGGAUUGGUAAGUCAGUUGUGAAAGGUUGCGGCUCAACCGUAAAAUUGCAGUUGAAACUGGCAGUCUUGAGUACAGGAGAGGUGGGCGGAAUUCGUGGUGUAGCGGUGAAAUGCGUAGAUAUCACGAAGAACUCCGAUUGCGAAGGCAGUUCACUGGACUGCAACUGACACUGAGGCUCGAAAGUGUGGGUAGCAAACAGGAUUAGAUACCCUGGUAGUC